AAUUUCUUUUCCCACCAUAUCUUGAUUCUAUACCCCAACCUCUCCUCUCCUCUCAAAUCUCCCACUCACAAGGCCACAACUCCAAUCUGUUUCUCAUAUUGCCUCGCUAUCAGUUUCAAAAUUUUUGAACCACCACCUAUUGAGAAGGCCCCUUCAUCCUCGUUCAACAACCCUUCAUCUUCAUUCAAUAGCCCCUACGGAUUUUAGGUUGAAGAUGAUUUAUUGUUUUAUCUUAUUUGGUGCCCUAAAGUUUCAUUUCUUGUGUAGGUUACAAGGUAUUUGAAAUCGAUCUACAGUAUUUUAUUCAAGGGCUUCCAUCGUUGAAUCUUCUUGGAUGGCAUGGUCAUUUCUCUUUUUCUUCUAUACAUGAUGUGGGUCUAAGGUAAACUUUACAUACAAUUUCUCACAUUUUUGACUCAUGGAGGUUUUGGGGUCAGUUUACUAUUUCUUAUAACUUUCAUUUAAUUACAAAAUUAUUCAAUUUAUUAAUAUUAAUGUAGGUAUCUUAGUUCCGGGUUGAAUUCACAGAAAAUAGAAAUUUGUCUAUAAUUAGUGGAAUACAUACUAGAGAUAAGCAUUUUAUGUAGCUCUCGUUGACAAAAAGAACAAUAAGGGCAUGUUUGGGUAAGUUUUUUGAAACAACUUAUUGACUUAUUGGCUUUUUGAAAAGUCAUAAGCUCUAAAAUGAUGUUUGGCAAAGAAGGUGUAUGUGAGGGGGAAAAGCCAAUAAGUCAAUAAGUCACAAAAUCCUGACUUUUCCAAGAAGCCAAUAAGUCAAUAAGUUGUUUCAAUAAGCUUACCCAAACAUGCUCUAAGUUUAUGUGGGUUAUGUUGAUUAUUGGUAUAUUUAAAUUCUCAAAUACUAAUGAAAUGCAUAUAGGAAGUUUCGUAGGGUAACAUUUGAUAUGCUAAAGGUGUGUGCUUGUUUAUAAAAAGUGCCUUCUUAGAUGCGCUUAAGCGUGAGGCACAACAAGUCGCAUACGCCUAGAGUAAUUACAAGAAGUGCCAAAAAGACGUGCUUUUUGGGAUUUUUUUGCGCUUUUUUGGCUUGAGGCGCGCACCUUUCCUACCCGAUGCAUUUCUAUGCAUCUAUCUGUUUUACCUUACUUAUUGCUUUAUUCACUACAAGAAAAAGGAGCAAUAGUGGGUGACGCCUUUAGCGGCGACUAAAACAUGGAUCCGCUUCCAACCCCUCUGAAUUAACAUUGACCGUUGAUUAGAGUUUUCAUCCAAUGGAUGGGGAAAUUUUAUCACAGAAGUAUGUAUUUAGAAUACGCCUAAUUCUCAUACACUUUUAUGUUAUUACUAUGAACUUAUGUUCAGGUAUAUAUUUUUUGUCCACAUUACAUAUUUUAAGCUGCAAUAGCUAAGUUAAAUUUUCACCAUUACGUUUGCCUUUAAUCAUUUGUACAGUAAUGCAUCAUCUACUUGUACCUUUUAAUCCGUGCGUCGUUACUAAACAAGACAACUACCGAAACGUUGACCAAAAUUUGUAGGUCGUCAUGUUGUCUUUGGAUUUUUUAGAGUAAACUGCAAUUUUACCCCCUGGGGUUAGAUCCCAUUGGCACUCUGACCCCUACCAGGAAAAUUUUGCUCUCUGACCUCCCAACUAAUGAAAAACUCUGCAAGAUUACCCCCCGGUGUUAAAAACUGUUUAAAGUCAAGCUAACUUAUUAACGGUUAAAGCGUAUUAUUGUCUUUUCCACUUGUUUUUGAUAGCUUCCUCAAUAAAACACCCUAUAUAAUAACUCGAGUAAACACCAUAACCCCCAAGUAUUCCCCCAUUCCCAUAAUCUUCCCACCAGCGAUCACAGCUCAGGCGAUCUUCCCACCGACGGCAGCGACAACACAGGCGAUCACACUAUAGCUCAUACAAAAUAUUGAUCUCCUCGACGAUCAGAGAAAUGUUGACCCACAUGUCAGUUGACAUGAGGAUGCAUAUAACAGUAAGAACGAUUGUGUUCUCCAUGGUGGUCAAGAUGCGAGGCCGCCCUUUCCUGCACUUCCAGUUUCCCCCACAGCAGGAAAUGGUUGCCUAGUUAUGAUAACUGUUUGGACUCUAAUAUAUAAUGUAUUUAUGUAGGCUAACUGUAGGAUGUUUUGGUAUCAUGUGUAUGAUAACUAUAUAGAUGGUUGCUGUAGGAUGUUUUGGUAUCAUAUGUAUGAUGUUUUGAUAGCAGAAAAUGGUUGUUAAGCAUGUUGUUUUGAUA